rnacentral:rRNA from 1 species
AAACUCAAAGGAAUUGACGGGGACCCGCACAAGCGGUGGAUGAUGUGGUUUAAUUCGAUGCAACGCGAAAAACCUUACCUACCCUUGACAUGCUAGGAAUCCCGCAGAGAUGUGGGAGUGCUCGAAAGAGAACCUGGACACAGGUGCUGCAUGGCCGUCGUCAGCUCGUGUCGUGAGAUGUUGGGUUAAGUCCCGCAACGAGCGCAACCCUUAUCAUUAGUUGCUACGCAAGGGCACUCUAAUGAGACUGCCGGUGACAAACCGGAGGAAGGUGGGGAUGACGUCAGGUCAUCAUGGCCCUUAUGGGUAGGGCUACACACGUCAUACAAUGGCCGGUACAGAGGGCUGCCAACCCGCGAGGGGGAGCUAAUCUCAGAAAACCGGUCGUAGUCCGGAUCGCAGUCUGCAACUCGACUGCGUGAAGUCGGAAUCGCUAGUAAUCGCGGAUCAGCUUGCCGCGGUGAAUACGUUCCCGGGUCUUGUACACACCGCCCGUCACACCAUGGGAGCGGGUUCUGCCAGAAGUAGUUAGCCUAACCGCAAGGAGGGCGAUUACCACGGCAGGGUUCGUGACUGGGGUGAAGUCGUAACAAGGUAGCCGUAUCGGAAGGUGCGGCUGGAUCACCUCCUUU